AUUGAACGCUGGCGGCAGGCUUAACACAUGCAAGUCGAGCGGUAGCACAGGGGAGCUUGCUCCCUGGGUGACGAGCGGCGGACGGGUGAGUAAUGUCUGGGAAACUGCCUGAUGGAGGGGGAUAACUACUGGAAACGGUAGCUAAUACCGCAUAACGUCGCAAGACCAAAGAGGGGGACCUUCGGGCCUCUUGCCAUCAGAUGUGCCCAGAUGGGAUUAGCUAGUAGGUGGGGUAAUGGCUCACCUAGGCGACGAUCCCUAGCUGGUAUGAGAGGAUGACCAGCCACACUGGAACUGAGACACGGUCCAGACUCCUACGGGAGGCAGCAGUGGGGAAUAUUGCACAAUGGGCGCAAGCCUGAUGCAGCCAUGCCGCGUGUGUGAAGAAGGCCUUCGGGUUGUAAAGCACUUUCAGCGAGGAGGAAGGUGGUGAACUUAAUACGUUCAUCAAUUGACGUUACUCGCAGAAGAAGCACCGGCUAACUCCGUG
rnacentral:rRNA from 1 species